UGGGGAAUCUUGGACAAUGGGCGCAAGCCUGAUCCAGCCAUGCCGCGUGAGUGACGAAGGCCUUAGGGUUGUAAAGCUCUUUUAGCAGGGAAGAUAAUGACGGUACCUGCAGAAUAAGCCCCGGCUAACUUCGUGCCAGCAGCCGCGGUGAUACGAAGGGGGCUAGCGUUGUUCGGAAUUACUGGGCGUAAAGCGCACGUAGGCGGAUCAUUUAGUCAGGGGUGAAAUCCCGGGGCUCAACCUCGGAACUGCCUUUGAUACUGAUGGUCUCGAGUCCGGAAGAGGUGAGUGGAAUUCCUAGUGUAGAGGUGAAAUUCGUAGAUAUUAGGAAGAACACCAGUGGCGAAGGCGGCUCACUGGUCCGGUACUGACGCUGAGGUGCGAAAGCGUGGGGAGCAAACAG
rnacentral:rRNA from 1 species